AAGGAUUCUAAGUUGCACUUGAAUCUUUUCUGUCUUCAUCUCCACUGCUGCUGUUCGAGUCCAAGUCUACUCUCCCCUCUGAAUUCCUGCAACCACCUCCAUCUCCUCCCCUAUAGCUGAUUCCUGGAACAGACCUGGCCUCAAGCCUCUGCUGCUUGAAGGCCUUAAUGAAGUCCUUGUGAUAAAGAUGAAGUCCAGGCACCUUUGCUUGCU
rnacentral:lncRNA from 1 species